rnacentral:tRNA from 1 species
GAGGGUAUGGCUCAACUAGUAGAGUGCAUGCUUAGCAUGCACAAGGUCCUAGGUUCAAUCCCUGGUACCUCCU